UAAAUUCACUCCGACCGACGAAGGAAACGUCCCCGGCGAAGGGUCAGGCUUUAUUUAAUCUUCCAUCCUUCAAACCCUAAAUCGUAACCAGUAAGCUCAUUUCAAUUUUGUAUAGAUUUCAUUGUUCUCGGCAAACUUCUCUCUGCUCCAUUCCUUGUUUGACAAAAAUUGUGUUUAUGUGGGAAUUUCUUGCUCCAUUGCGUGUUUAAAUUGAGGCAAUUGUUAAUUAAUUUAACUAAAAGUUACAGAAGAAAAGUGGGAGAGUAAAGCCUUUUGAAAGCUCCUUAGAGUUUCAAACUGAGCUCGAAUAAGUUACUACUCGGCUCAUUUAUCACCCCUAAUUCUUUGAGAUCGGCUGGUCUCAUAAACAAGCUAAGUUUAGAACACAUUUUCGAAGUUAAGCUUUCAAACCCAACUUGAUCAACCUCUUGCUUGGCUCAAUCAGCUCGUUAAUCACCCCAAUCCUGGGUUUGUCCAAAUUUUUUCCUGAAAGUAGUUGUAUGUGCUCGCCUACUCUGGCUUAAGAAAUUUUCCAUUUUGCCAUCAAUCAGCGAAAAGCAUGCAUUCAUGAGAUGUGUUAUCGUGUUCUUUUGAUAAAGAACUUUACGUAGUGUAAUAAGUUCAACUUCAUUGAACCAAUUUGCUUAUUCACCUCACAGACAACUUUUAUACAAGCACCAGGCCACAAAUGUCUCUUAAGUUCUGGAAAUAAUAUAACUAAGUGAGAACAAGGCCUGUUGCAGAUAUUUUGGAUAUAGUGCUCACAUAUUCAUAAACUCGUAUCUAUUCUGUCCACCUAUAACAUCUUAGUAUGUCCACGUAACUUAUUUGAUCAGAUGGGUGGUGGUUUACAUUUUUUGAUCUUCUCUUCCAUUCCUGUUGGCAAUCAAGAGAGUACUUUUUUUUACAAAAAUAGUUUGGUUAUCCCGUGGAUGUUUCUUUAGGGCCUGGAUGUUCAUCAAUUGCUUAUGGGAUGGCUGAAGAACCUGGAGGACCUUUUCACAUUGAGAAAGACGAGAAGACUCUUUAUUUGAACCCUUAUGGUUGGAAUCAAGCUAGAGUAGAGUCAAAUCCACUAUCAUUAUCAUCGUCAUCCUCAGUGGAAGCUGCAGGGGCAUAGUCAUAGUCUCCGUCAUCAUUGUCAUCAUCAUCGCCAUCUCCUUCCAUGCCUGUUGACAGGGCAGGAUAGUAUCCUUCAUCACCAUCUGGAUUCUUCUUGCAACAUGUCCAGGAGGAGUUGAGGACCAUGACACAAUGGCUUUUGAAAUGGGAGACAUUUUCUUUCUAGGGAAAUUUUGUUGAAGAAAAGAAAAGUGGGACUUGUGGUGUUGUUCUAAGGUCUUUGUUGUUUGGACUGAGCAUGGCUUGGAGGUAAAACCAAUGCUUAUAUCAGUGGAAGGGAAGGUGUUAGGUUCAUGUUGGCUCAAGCUAGCCACAUGGGAAGUGUGGAGUGUAACUUGAAGGGCGUGCGAGACACAAUGCAGGCAACACGUGGAGCCAUAUAGUCCAGCCGCCUAGGAAAUUUGGGUGACAGUUUAGCAUACAUGUUGGUGCACCAAUAGGUGACCACAAUUUAACAGUAAUAAGGCAUCUUUUCUGCAUGGUUGGGUCAGAGAUAUCAAAGAAGAGUAGGAUUUUUGUGCAGGUUGGUGACAAUGGAAGCUCAAAAAGUGUGGUGCAUUAUUCUUUAGGAAUGGGUUUGAACUUUGAAGGGAUACUUUAGUCAUUUUAGCAACUAUCUCUAUCUACGUCGAUUGAAAAAAAUUACCCGUUGAUCUAUGUGGCAUGCCAUGAUUGGGUGCUGCAGCAACAUUCUAGAGUUUCUUCAACAAGAGCUAACCAAUAUUUGCUAGAGAAAAGGCCAUGUAUUAAGAUGUAAUUAGCAAUCUUUAGCAGCAUUCUAGAAUUGCUCAUGAGCGACAAGAGCUAACCAACUUGUGGUAGAGAAAAGUCCAUUUAUUCAGAUGUAUUUAGCUUAGGGAGUAAGGUUCAUUGAUCCUUAUCACUCAUCUUUAGAUCAGUAUAAUGCAACCACAAUAAAUUUGACA